AUUGAACGCUGGCGGCAGGCCUAACACAUGCAAGUCGAGCGGAACGGCGGACGGGUGGGUAAUGAAUAGGUAGCAGACUGCUUGAGGGGGAGAAAGUCCGGAUGGAGGCGCUAAUACAGCAUACUAUCAGAUGAGCCUAGCCCGGUUUAGCUAGUUGGUGGGGUAGAGGCCUACCAAGGUGACGAUCCCUAACUGGUCUGUGAGGAUGAUCAGCCACACUGGAACUGAGACACGGUCCAGACUCCUACGGUAGGCAGCAGUGGGGAAUAUUGGACAAUGGGCGAAAGCCUGAUCCAGCCAUGCCGCGUGUGUGAAGAAGGUCUUCGGAUUGUAAAGCACUUUAAGUUGGGAGGCGUUACCAACAGAAUAAGCACCGGCUAACUUCGUGCCAGCAGCCGCGGUAAUUC
rnacentral:rRNA from 1 species